GGGCGCGUGCGCGCGUCGGUGGGCAGCACGGGAGAGGCCUGCGGCGGAGCCUCACGCCUUCCGCCCCGCGAGCGCUCGGCUUCAGACACUCAAGGAGCGCAGACGACGCGGGGCUUUGGCCGAUUGAACGCCAAAUGGGAAAGUGUUGGAGAAAAGCUCACAGAGGCGCUGUCGGUGGCCAGGGCCCACGUGGUGCGGUGGGCGCGUGACAGGAGCGAGGUUCUAGUGCCUUUGUUCGAGACGAUUAAAGAUGCCGCUUUCCUGCCUUCUGAACAAAUGGACGUUGAGUAAAUAGCUGUUUUCCUGCUUUGAUUUGGCGUUUUAGCCCGGCAAGCUGAGUCAAGGACACCGGCAUCCCUCGACAGGAGACACGUGCUGUCUGCAGACUGGAUAGGCUGUCAGAGUCUGUCUCCCCUUUAGCAGUUUAGAGUCUGUGCUAUUGGUCUCUUCUUGUCUGCUCCCGUUUCUCGGGUCAACUCUGAUCACUUAAGUCUUGAUACAUCCAUUUCUCCAGACCUUGCAGUUGACAUUCAUGGUGUUUUCUAAGUUUGUAAAAUCUUCCCUGAGGCUUGGUUAGUGUUCUUUUUCCUUUCUUAAUGUGCUGUACUUGUGUUUUCCCUCCGAGGCAGCCACGGCUCGUGGUCCUGAGUGACAGCCUGGUUGUGUUUGGAACAACAGUGUGUCAGCUGGAACUCCUGGCCUCCCUGUGGCAGGUGUGGCCAUGUGACCAAGUUCUAGGGGAACUGGGGGAAUGUUUUGCUUUCCUCCUUGGAACACAGAAAUGGGCUCUGAGGAGGAACAGUUGGUCUCUGUUGUGAGGCUGAAAGCAAACUGGAGGAACCUGGGAGUGGAGACCCUGUGGCCACACCCUGGGGCCUCCACCACCCUUGCUGAAGGAUGAUCUGGGGAAAAAUAAGAAACAUCUCACCCCUAAACACAGCUAAACGUCCACAGCUAAACAACUGUGUUCCCAUCUCAUGGAGUCAGAAGUGGAUCCUGGUUGAUACAGUCUCUCCUUGCUGCUGAUCGGGCCUCUCAAGGAUUUAUCCACUUUGUUUUUUCCCAAACACUCAGCUUGUUUGUUAUAUGACUGAGGUCAACUUUUAAUCUUUAGUAAUUUCCUGUUUGUAUCAUCCUUUGAUUUGGUUAAUUUAUUUCAUGUAUGUACGUAUAUGCACAUACACAUAUACACACACACCUGUGUACAGGCAAUAAACCCAAUUAAGUUUGCAGAA